AGCCAAAGCAAAAAAAAAAAAAAACAAGCAGACAGAUCAAGUGGCCGUAGGGAGCAUAGCAUCAGAUCUCCAAGGUGAAAAGGGUGUGACAUCACAGAGAUGCCUCAGAUGCAAAUUACCCAUUAAAACUUGUGUCUCCUCAUCUGCAUCAACAAGACGGCCACCGCAAAUAAUACUCAAACCAGCGUCGGAAAAUAGAAGCGAACACCGAGAUAUAAAAAGGAGGAAAGCUGAAACGAGGGAGGCAUGGGCGAGACCAAAUAUGUCCAAGCCGAAACCGCCGCCGUCGGACGUGAUGCUGAAGGAGGGAACGAGUGGGG
rnacentral:misc_RNA from 1 species